rnacentral:rRNA from 1 species
GACGAACGCUGGCGGCGUGCUUAACACAUGCAAGUCGAACGGUAAGGCCCUUCGGGGUACACGAGUGGCGAACGGGUGAGUAACACGUGGGUGAUCUGCCCUGCACUUCGGGAUAAGCCUGGGAAACUGGGUCUAAUACCGGAUAGGACCACUGCCUGCAUGGGUGGUGGUGGAAAGCUUUUGCGGUGUGGGUUGGGCCCGCGGCCUAUCAGUUUGUUGGUGGGGUGAUGGCCUACCAAGGCGACGACGGGUAGCCAGCCUGGGCGGGUGACCGGCCACACUGGGACUGAGAUACGGCCCAGACUCCUACGGGAGGCAGAGGUGGGGAAUAUUGCACAAUGGGCGCAAGCCUGAUGCAGCGACGCCGCGUGAGGGAUGACGGCCUUCGGGUUGUAAACCUCUUUCAGCACCGACGAAGCGCAAGUGACGGUAGGUGCAGAAGAAGGACCGGCCAACUACGUGCCAGCAGCCGCCGUAA